UACGAAGGGGGCAAGCGUUGUUCGGAAUUACUGGGCGUAAAGGGCGCGUAGGCGGAUAGUUUAGUCAGAGGUAAAAGCCCAGGGCUCAACCUUGGAACUGCCUUUGAUACUGGCUAUCUUGAGUUCGGGAGAGGUGAGUGGAAUGCCGAGUGUAGAGGUGAAAUUCGUAGAUAUUCGGCGGAACACCAGUGGCGAAGGCGACUCACUGGCCCGAUACUGACGCUGAGGCGCGAAAGCGUGGGGAGCAAACAGG
rnacentral:rRNA from 1 species